UCUCCUCAAGCAAAAAGAGGAAGACUAGCAAGAGAUGUUAGCUCAGGGCCAAUCUUACUCACCAAAAAAGAAAGAAAGAAAGAAAAAAGUUUGUAAAUUACAAGAAUAUGUAAAACCACAAAAGGGGGGGAGCAGAGGUCUUAUUUUCCACCUUUUUCCGUCUCCCACAAUAUCCAUGAAUUCCUGUGCUAACAGUGGACAUUUUAUAAAUGUUUAUGUUUUCAUUAAAACUGGAGCCUCCCUCUCUAGAGUUGUAAAGGGAUAAACCUGAAGAAGAUGCAGAGUUCUUACUGAAGGAAAAGCCUACUAUAAAGUUUGUCCCAAAGAGGGCAGGGAUUACCUACCUCAAUUUGAGCUCUCAAGGAGCAAUAUGUAAUAUAUACUAUAAUAAAAUCAUCCAAGCUCCCAAGCCUUUAACCAUUACAGAGAGUUUACAGUGCCUAACCCCCUUCCCUUCAGGAAACAGAGAAAAAGGUGUAAUUUUUGGAAAGUUACCUAUCUUUGUCACAGACACUUAUUUGUGAGAAAAAACUAACUUUUGUUCAAGUUCACAAUUAACAAGUGGCAUAAAAAGGCUAAUUCGUGCCAAAUAUCCUCUCUCUCAAAACGGAAACAGAAGCAAAAAACAGCACACACUGGGAAUCUCAUUAAAAUUCCUUAUGGAAACCCUUCUCUUAUUUGCAAACAUAACCUGCAGCAGAUGAAAUUCCAAAGGCAAUUUAAUGAAAGUGCAAACCAAAACCUGGUUAACUGCUUGAAUGCAGUUUGUGAGAAAUCAUGCCCCCAGAGUACAAGACAGUUAUCAGCCAGCACAUGCAAAAUGGAAAUGUGUCCUCUGUUGAAACAAAUGUCAAAAGCUGUCAGCUGUUAGACCUUCUCCCACGGCAGAUUGGAAGCCAAAUUCUUUCCAGAGUGUGCGGAUUCUGUGGGGCGAUGGGGCUGCGGAAUUAGGGGAAACAAGACAACAAAAGGAAGCAGAAAAGGCCUUUUUGGAGUCACUAGAAAACACCACUGCUGGCUGCUUCAACAAAUGUUUUGAAAAAACAAACUUCACCACAAGCCAUAUACUUUUGGGGAUGGUGGGGAGUAAGCAGAGAGAGAUUAGGAGGCCUAGAAUCAAAGAAUGUGAACUGGAUGGGCCCUUAAAAUUCAUCUGGCUCAAAACCCUCCUGGAGCAGGGGUUCCCAGUACCCUCAAGGCCCUCCUAUCCAGAACAUGGGAUACAACACAACUAAAAAUAAGGGGUAGGUGAGGGCCAAGAAAAGGGAGAAAGGGGAUCAGAAAGAUACAGGCCCGUGGACGGUUGCAGAACGCUCCCCUCGGACGCUCGCCAGCCCGCCAGUCCCUCCGCCCCUUUCUCUUCCCCCACCCCAGCUUCGGGAGGAGCGCGCACGCGCAGCAAGUAGGGGCUGCGCGUGGCGACGCGCAGGCGUAAAGUGGGGAGAAACAAUGAGCUUUGUUGCCGAGGUGGCCGUGGGGGGCAGGGGAAAAAGGGUACCAGAGCGGGGGUUGAAGGGACUGGAGGGAGGGGGGAGACGCGAGAAAGUGCUUUCCCGGCAACCCUCGCGCGCCACCGAGGACCCGGAUAGAGAGCUGCGAGAUCCAAAUCAUAAAUAAUAAUGACAAUGAGAAAAAGGAGCGACGGCCAUUUCUCAGAGAAGAAAAAGACGAAGUCGGUCCAAGCUCAUCCUUCAGACUCGCCUGAAAGGGGAAUGUGCGUGCGCAACGGGCUUUCCUGCGUACCCUGGCCGGGACGGUACACUAUGCUGGGAGUCCUGAGUCGGGUCCGGCCAGUGUCCCCACACCCCCCCAUCCUUCAAGAAUGAUGGGAAGCAUAAGUAGGGGAACUGGUCUGUGGAGUAUGAUUCAUCCAAGGAACCUGGAAGAUAAGCUAUCAACCUGAGGCUGGAAGAGGCAUGAACAGGACAGGAGGAGGA